AACAUAUAAUAAGCGAACGUUAUCUUUACCUAACCAUAGUUUAUUUCCAUACCCACCUUGUACCUUCCACCCAUUCUCAAAGAGUCAAAACCCUAAUCGGAUCGCACGUCGCCUCUGCGCUUCCAAGGAAAAUGAGUAGCCGUGCGAGCCGAACUCUCUAUGUCGGCAAUCUUCCAGCGGAUAUUCGCGAGAGAGAAGUGGAGGAUUUGUUUUACAAGUAUGGACGGAUAGCCCACAUUGAUCUGAAGGUCCCACCAAGGCCUCCCGGUUAUGCAUUUGUUGAGUUUGAAGAUGCUCAAGAUGCUGAAGAUGCCAUUCGGGGUCGUGAUGGCUAUGAUUUUGAUGGGCAUCGGCUACGGGUGGAACUUGCACAUGGUGGCCGUGGACAUUCAUCAUCGAGAGAUCGUUAUAGUAGUUAUAGCAGUGGCGGUCGGAGUGGACGCGGUGGAGUAUCCAGGCGCUCUGAAUUCCGUGUGCUUGUCUCUGGAUUGCCUCCUUCUGCUUCAUGGCAAGACCUUAAGGAUCACAUGCGACAAGCUGGGGAUGUUUGUUUUUCCCAAGUUUUCCGGGAUGGUAGUGGCACGACGGGGAUCGUGGAUUACACAAACUACGAAGACAUGAAGUAUGCAGUAAAAAAGCUUGAUGACUCUGAGUUUCGGAAUGCAUUUUCUCGGUCAUAUGUCCGUGUUAGGGAAUAUGAUUCAAAAAGGGAUGCCUCUAGGAGCCCUAGUCGUGGUCGAUCCUAUUCAAAAGGCAGGAGCUAUAGCCGCAGCCGUAGUCGUAGCCGUAGUGUUAGUCGGGGCAGGAGCAAGAGCAAGUCUCCAAAGGCCAAAUCUUCGCGCCGCUCACCUGUCAAAUUGCGGUCAAGGUCUGCUGAGAAAUCUCGCUCUCGCUCUGGUUCAAAGUCUCGUUCUAUGUCAGGAUAUGGAUACAUGCAGCGAAGUGGGGAUUGGAUAUUAGGAUCUUGGUGGGAUAUGGUUCAGUUGCCUGCAACUCUUUUGGUUGUGGAGAUUGGGAACAAAGGAGAUCAUGGUUGCAAUAGUAAAGCUGGAUAUCUGGGAACUAAGUGCCAUUGGGAUUUGGAUAUCACCAUCCAUGAGCAGUAGAGACGAUUUCAUUAUCAUUUUCUGCUCCAACAUUUGCCAAGCUAGUAGGGAGCACUAUCUGGCCUUUCUGGAUUUUUGUGAUCUCGAUCAAGAUCCAGAUCUCCAUUGCCUUCGCGUCAGAAAAGGAAGAGUAAAAGCCCAAAGAGGCGCAGUGCUAGCAGGAGCCCAAGCAGGAGCAGGAGCAGGAGCAAGAGCUUGUCCAG